UGGGGAAUCUUGCGCAAUGGGCGAAAGCCUGACGCAGCGACGCCGCGUGAGUGAUGAAGGCCUUCGGGUUGUAAAGCUCUGUGGGGAGAGACGAAUAAGGAUUGGCUAAUAUCCAGUCCGAUGACGGUAUCUCUUUAGCAAGCACCGGCUAACUCUGUGCCAGCAGCCGCGGUAAGACAGAGGGUGCAAACGUUGUUCGGAAUUACUGGGCGUAAAGCGUGUGUAGGCGGCCUUGCAAGUCGGAUGUGAAAGCCCCGGGCUCAACCCGGGAAGUGCACUCGAUACUGCCAAGCUAGAGUAUCGGAGAGGUUGGUGGAAUUCUCGGUGUAGAGGUGAAAUUCGUAGAUAUCGAGAGGAACACCGGUGGCGAAGGCGGCCAACUGGACGAAUACUGACGCUGAGACUCGAAAGCGUGGGGAGCAAACA
rnacentral:rRNA from 1 species